GACGAACGCUGGCGGCGUGCCUAAUACAUGCAAGUCGAGCGAAGUUUUUCUGGUGCUUGCACUAGAAACACUUAGCGGCGAACGGGUGAGUAACACGUAAAGAACCUGCCUCAUAGACUGGGACAACUAUUGGAAACGAUAGCUAAUACCGGAUAACAGUAUUUCUCGCAUGGGAGAUAUUUAAAAGUUGGUUGUGCUAACACUAUGAGAUGGCUUUGCGGUGCAUUAGCUAGUUGGUGGGGUAAAGGCCCACCAAGGCGACGAUGCAUAGCCGACCUGAGAGGGUGAUCGGCCACACUGGGACUGAGACACGGCCCAGACUCCUACGGGAGGCAGCAGUAGGGAAUCUUCCGCAAUGGGCGAAAGCCUGACGGAGCAACGCCGCGUGAGUGAAGAAGGAUUUCGGUUCGUAAAGCUCUGUUGUUAGGGAAGAAUGGAUAUGUAGUAACUAUACAUGUAAGAGACGGUACCUAACCAGAAAGCCACGGCUAACUACGUG
rnacentral:rRNA from 1 species